rnacentral:rRNA from 1 species
CGAGGGGCAUCAGGAAUAGCAAUAUUUGCUGGCGACCGGCGCACGGGUGCGUAACACGUAUACAAUCUGCCUUUAACAGGGGGAUAGCCCGGAGAAAUCCGGAUUAAUACCCCAUAAUAGAAUUUUCGGCAUCGAAGAUUUUUGAAAGCUCCGGCGGUUAAAGAUGAGUAUGCGUCUGAUUAGCUAGUUGGUGAGGUAACGGCUCACCAAGGCGACGAUCAGUAGGGGAUCUGAGAGGAUUAACCCCCACACGGAUACUGAGACACGGAUCCGACUCCUACGGGAGGCAGCAGUAAGGAAUAUUGGACAAUGCCCGCAAGGGUGAUCCAGCCAUGCCGCGUGCAGGAAGACGGCCCUAUGGGUUGUAAACUGCUUUUACACCGGAGAAAACCCCCCUUCGUGAAGGGGGCUGAUAGUAUGGUGAGAAUAAGCAUCGGCUAACUUCGUGCCAGCAGCCGCGGUAAGACGAAGGAUGCAAGCGUUAUCCGGAUUCAUUGGGUUUAAAGGGAGCGUAGGUGGACUGAUAAGUCAGUGGUGAAAUCUCUGGGCUUAACCCAGAAAUUGCCAUUGAUACUGUUGGUCUUGAGUACAGUUGCUGUGGGCGGAAUAUGACAUGUAGUGGUGAAAUACAUAGAGAUGUCAUAGAACACCGAUUGCGAAGGCAGCUCACAAAGCUGUAACUGACACUGAGGCUCGAAAGUGCGGGGAUCAAACAGGAUUAGAUACCCUGGUAGUCCGCACCGUAAACGAUGAUUACUCGCUGCUAGAUGGCAACAUUUAGUGGCUUAGCGAAAGCGAUAAGUAAUCCACCUGGGGAGUACGCUGGCAA